rfam:Aedes albopictus isolate Foshan contig143894, whole genome shotgun sequence.
GACUCCGUAGCUUGAAGGAAUAGAAGCGCCCGUCUAGCGAAUUGGGAGUCGUGAGUUCGAGUCUCACCGGAGUAC